CAUGGUUUCGUACACUUUACUUAUUAGUCUAUUGCAAAUCAUAUACCUUCCGCCAAACCCUAAUUUUAAUGAAGAUUCAAUGCUGAAUGCAUCUGCAAAAAAUUGAAAUUGGAGUACUUUUUGGGUGGCAUCAUAAGUUUGAUUUGCAGAAUUCCCUGCAGUUUUGAUUCAAUCUGGUUCAGUUACAUUCUGAGGUGGUGAUAACUGCAAUUCGAUGAUAACUCGCUCAAAACUCGUUGAGCAACUCAGAGAUUACCAGGUCCGAUCCCAGCACAAGUGGCCCCCUCUCGCCGUCUUCUCUCCAAAACCCCUUCUUUCAACCUGGAGUGAUGUUGCACUUGCUGCUUUUUGGGCCUUUAUAUUUAUCGCCCUCCUAUUUUCAUCAUAUAUCACCCUUUACCUAAAACAUUACUGGGUUUCCUCCAUUAUACUAUGCCUCGGCAUCCUUGUUCCUAUACGUUUGAGAAUUCUGCGGCAGUCGCUUGCUAGAAAAAGGGACAGAAGAAUGAUGCUACCUCUAUCCAUGUGAGUAUCCUCAAAUUCAUUGAAGCAUUCGAAAAAGUUUGCCUCCAGUCGAACGGUGUUUUCAGUUGCAUACCUGUUGUAAGAAAUAUUGGAUGCCUCUCUUCUGACCCUUUUGAGUGAUCGAGAAUUUGCAGGAGUAAUGAAAUAACUAUAGCAAAAGUUCGAUUCUUGACUUCAAAUUUUGCAGCUUUUUUAAAUUGUAAAUGUCUUUGAGGCGUGACUUUGGCCAUCCAUUUGAGUUAAAUAGAUGUUACUAGUACUUAAAAAAAUUCUCUAGUGUUAAUGGAUGAGGUCUGGCACUUUAUUUCUUUUAAGGAAUGGCUUCAGAUUGCACCAGAAA